rnacentral:tRNA from 1 species
AAAAGAUUAGUUAAUAAUUUAUAACAUUAAUUUGUCAAAUUAAAAUAAUUAAUUUAUAAUAUCUUUUU